UCGAGCGAGAAAACCGGGGCAACUCGGUGAGUACAGCGGCGGAAGGGUGCGUAAUACAUGGUUAACGUACCCCCCAGUUCGGGAUAACCCUCCGAAAGGUGGGCUAAUACCGGGUAAUGGCAGCGGGUGGCAUCAUUUGCUGCUUAAAGUCGUAAGACGCUGGGGGAGCGGACCAUGGCCUAUCAGCUAGUUGGCGGGGUAACGGCCCACCAAGGCGAUGACGGGUAGCCGGACUGAGAGGUUGAACGGCCACACGGGAACUGAGACACGGUCCCGACAUCUACGGAUGGCAGCAGUAGGGAAUCUUGCACAAUGGGCGAAAGCCUGAUGCAGCGACACCGCGUGGGGGAUGAAGGCCUUCGGGUUGUAAACCCCUUUCAUGAGGGAAGAAUACUGACCUAACCUCAGGAAGAAGCACCGGCUAACUCCGUGCCAGCAGCUGCGGUAAUACGGAGAGUGCAAACGUUGUUCGGAUUCACUGGGCGUAAAGGGCACGUAGGCGGCUCGGCAAAUCGGUCGUGGAAUCUCGACGCUUACCGUCGAAACGGCGGCCGAAAAUACCGGGCUCGAGGGCGUGAGGGGUCACUGGAACUCCUGGUGAAGCGGUGAAAUGCGUAGAUAUCAGGAGGAACGCCGGAGGCGAAAGCGAGUGACUGGCGCGUUCCUGACGCUGAGGUGCGAAAGCUAGGGGAGCAAACAGGAUUAGAUACCCUGGUAGUCCUAGCCGUAAACGAUGGACACUGAGUGAAGGAGGGCUUGCCCUUCUUUGCUGCAGCUAACGCGUUAAGUGUCCCGCCUGGGGAGUACGGCCGCAAGGUUAAAACUCAAAGGAA
rnacentral:rRNA from 1 species